rnacentral:rRNA from 1 species
AUUGAACGCUGGCGGCAGGCCUAACACAUGCAAGUCGAGCGGAGCGGCGGACGGGUGAGUAAUGCCUAGGAAUCUGCCUGGGAGUGGGGGAUAACGUACGGCAACGGGAGCUAAUACCGCAUACUAUCAGAAGAGCCUAGGUCGGAUUAGAUUGUUGGUGGGGUAAAGGCCUACCAAGGCGAAGAUCCGUAACUGGUCUGAGAGGAUGAUAAGUCACACUGUGACUGUGACACGGUCCAGACUCCUACGGGAGGCAGCAGUGGGAAAUAUUGGACAAUGUGCGAAAGCCUGAUCCAGCCAUGCCGCGUGUGUGAAGAAGGUCUUCGGAUUGUAAAGCACUUUAAGUUGGGAGGCGUUACCAACAGAAUAAGCACCGGCUAACUUCGUGCCAUCCGCCGCGGUAAUAC